CCCUCAGAAAGCCCUCUAUGUGGAGAGAAGAGAUUCUGUGUACAGAUUCGCUGUCCUACCUAUGGAGAUGGGAGUCAUGUACAGAAACACACC